GGGGUGUAAACCUCUUUCAGGAGAGACGAAGCCGCUCGGGUUAAUACCCCAGAGGGUGACGGUACCUCCAGAAGAAGCCCCGGCUAACUACGUGCCAGCAGCCGCGGUAAUACGUAGGGGGCAAGCGUUGUCCGGAAUUAUUGGGCGUAAAGAGCGUGUAGGCGGCCAGGUAGGUCUGCUGUGAAAACUCGAGGCUCAACCUCGAGCUGUCGGUGGAAACCAUCUGGCUAGAGUCCGGAAGAGGAGAAUGGAAUUCCUGGUGUAGCGGUGAAAUGCGCAGAUAUCAGGAAGAACACCCGUGGCGAAGGCGGUUCUCUGGGACGGUACUGACGCUGAGACGCGAAAGCGUGGGGAGCAAACAGGAUUAGAUACCCUGGUAGUCCACGCCGUAAACGAUGGGUGCUAGGUGUGGGCGGUGUCAACUCCGUCCGUGCCGAAGCUAACGCAUUAAGCACCCCGCCUGGGGAGUACGGCCGCAAGGCUAAAACUCAAAGGAAUUGACG
rnacentral:rRNA from 1 species